UUUAAGUAGGUGUAAAAACGUAGAGGAAAUAUGUUGGAGUAAUCCAGCGAGACCACGCCCACUCUACUUUCUUAAGUUUCGUUUCUUCCGCCAUUUUGUUAUCCCGCAGCGGCCGGAGGAAGAUAGAGGCUGUGACUGAGGAAAGAUGCAAGCUGUGCGUGAACAUGUCUAACGCCAAAAGAAAAAUGUUUGGAAGUUCAGCUGACCUACAAAUCCUUUUGGGAAUGUGCUGCCAAAAAGUUCAACAUCCCAACCUUGGACUUGAAAGUGUUUGAUGAC